rnacentral:rRNA from 1 species
AGAUUUUGCCUUCGGGUACAAUUGAGACAGGUGGUGCAUGGUUGUCGUCAGCUCGUGUCGUGAGAUGUUGGGUUAAGUCCCGCAACGAGCGCAACCUUGUGUUUAGUUGCAAACAGGUCAAGCUGUGCACUCUAGACAGACUGCCGUGGACAACACGGAGGAAGGUGGGGAUGACGUCAAAUCAUCAUGCCCCUUAUGAUCUGGGCUACACACGUGCUACAAUGGCCGGUACAACGGGCAGCGAAGGAGCGAUCCGGAGCGAAUCCUAAAAAGCCGGUCCCAGUUCGGAUUGCAGGCUGAAACUCGCCUACAUGAAGUUGGAGUUGCUAGUAAUCGCGAAUCAGAAAUGUCGCGGUGAAUGCGUUCCCGGGUCUU